rnacentral:tRNA from 1 species
GCGGGGGUUGCCAAGCCAGGUCAAAGGCGCAGGGCUUAGGACCCUGUCCCUCAGGGGUUCGUGGGUUCGAAUCCCACCCCCCGCACCA